rnacentral:rRNA from 1 species
ACGAUGAAGCCUUUCGGGGUGGAUUAGUGGCGAACGGGUGAGUAACACGUGGGCAAUCUGCCCUUCACUCUGGGACAAGCCCUGGAAACGGGGUCUAAUACCGGAUAACACUCUGUCCCGCAUGGGACGGGGUUAAAAGCUCCGGCGGUGAAGGAUGAGCCCGCGGCCUAUCAGCUUGUUGGUGGGGUAAUGGCCUACCAAGGCGACGACGGGUAGCCGGCCUGAGAGGGCGACCGGCCACACUGGGACUGAGACACGGCCCAGACUCCUACGGGAGGCAGCAGUGGGGAAUAUUGCACAAUGGGCGAAAGCCUGAUGCAGCGACGCCGCGUGAGGGAUGACGGCCUUCGGGUUGUAAACCUCUUUCAGCAGGGAAGAAGCGAAAGUGACGGUACCUGCAGAAGAAGCGCCGGCUAACUACGUGCCAGCAGCCGCGGUAAUACGUAGGGCGCAAGCGUUGUCCGGAAUUAUUGGGCGUAAAGAGCUCGUAGGCGGCUUGUCACGUCGGAUGUGAAAGCCCGGGGCUUAACCCCGGGUCUGCAUUCGAUACGGGCUAGCUAGAGUGUGGUAGGGGAGAUCGGAAUUCCUGGUGUAGCGGUGAAAUGCGCAGAUAUCAGGAGGAACACCGGUGGCGAAGGCGGAUCUCUGGGCCAUUACUGACGCUGAGGAGCGAAAGCGUGGGGAGCGAACAGGAUUAGAUACCCUGGUAGUCCACGCCGUAAACGUUGGGAACUAGGUGUUGGCGACAU